rnacentral:tRNA from 1 species
UGGCCGCGAGGCGCAUGGAAAAGGCCCGGUGGAGCGAUCCGCCGGGCCUUUUUCUUGUGCGGGGGAGGGCCGAGGUUCAGGCCGCGGCGGCCGCC